GUUGUAUGGUUAAGUGACUAAGCGUACACGGUGGAUGCCUUGGCAGUCAGAGGCGAUGAAGGACGUAGUAACUUGCGAUAAGCCCAGAUUAGGUAGUAACAACCAUUUGAGUCUGGGAUUUCCGAAUGGGGAAACCCAC
rnacentral:rRNA from 1 species